UAAGACGUACGGGCAGCAUAAUUAAGUCCUCAUAACUCUCAAGUGCAGGCAUCAAAAAAUCAAAACUGAGAAUGACUGGUGAUAUAUAUAUAUAUAUAUAUAGACACCUCAAGCAAUUAAGAAAGAAGCAAAUUAUAAUCAUGGCUUCUAUAGCUGAUCAGGAAGAAGAGACAAAUAAUUUCUCACAUGCAAUGGGACUUGCAAGUGCAAUAGUGCUACCUGCAGUUAUGCAAGCAGUGGUAGAGCUUGAUGUGUUUGAGAUCAUAAGUUAUGAACGGAUAUUUAAAUAAAAGAAAAUUUAUAAUAAAGAAAAGUAUUAAUUUGUUGUGAAUGUAACUUAUAUAAGCUGUAAGUUAGCGGGACUCUUCAAAUAAUUCUAAUAUUUUGAUUUUUAAUUCUUAUAUUUAAAAAAAUAUCUUCUGUAGUUAAAUAUAUUUUAUUUUUAUCCUUACUUUUACUUUACUUUACUUUUAUAAUAAUAGCCUUCUAAAAUUUUUUUAACAUUAAUUAAGUUAUUUAUAAAAUUUUAAUUAUAAAAUUAACUAAUAAAUAUCAGUACGAAAGAAUUAAUAUUUUUUUAACCCAUACAAUAAUCUUGCAAAUAAUUUUUUUAUAAAUAAAAAUUAAUAUCAACUAACUUAAAGUGGUGUUUAAUAUCCUUACAAUAAUUAUAUUAAUAUUUAUUUAUAAAAAAUUAAUUUACCAAAUUAAUCUUAAAACUAAAUUAAUAACAUAAAAAUUUAUAAAACUAAUUAUUUUACUUUUCAUCGGCUGCAAUUUGUUGAAACUUGGGUGAAGACAAAUUGAGAUCUUAGAAAUCUCCAAUGAGAUAAUAAAAUAUAAUAUAUAUGUUAGGUCUUUGUUCUUUAGAGAAUAGGAGUCAUCAUAUAGUACCGCGCUGUAUGUAAUACAGCUGCUUCAACAGUGAAAAAAAAACUUGAACAAUCGGUAUUUUACCGGUUGUUCAUCUAAUAAUUUUUAAAAAAUUUAUUUUUAAUGUGAAAAAAAUAAGGAAAUUUAUAAACAAUUAAUAUUAAAAAGAUUUGAGUAAGAAAAAUAUUUUUAAUUUAAAAAAAAGUUAAAAAAAGAGUAAAAUAAUCAUGUUCCAAUUUUUUUGGUUAAAUAUCAAUAUAUUAGGUGGACGUUUCAAAUUAAUUUCACAUGUCCCUAAUUUUCUUUAAACUUUCUCAAUAAUUGGUUUAUUUGUUUCCACUUCUCAAUCCACUAGUUUUAUGUAUAAUAUUCCUACUAAAUUCGUUAAAUACAAUUUUUUUAGGUUAAAUUCCAAGUAAAUUCAUUUCUCGUUAAAUAAGUUCCUAAAUUUGGUUACACUUUCUCCCUUUUUGGUUUAUAUGUUUCAACUAUUAUUUCACAAAUUUUACGUUCAAUAUUCCAAUUCGCUUGGUAAGAUUUCAUUUAUUUGGGUUAAAUACCGAAAUAAUUUUUUUUGUUAAAUUAGUUCCCAAUUUUGGUUAAGCUUUUUAAUAUUUAAGUUCACAUGUUUCAAAUUAUCAGUCCACUAGUUUUGUGUUAGGUAUUCCUACUAAGUUCGAUCAAUACCAAUAUUUUGGGUUAGAUUCCAAGUAAUUUUCAUUUCCCGUUGGAUGAGUUCCUAAUUUUCGUUAGAUUUUCUCGCUUAUUGGUUCAAAUGUUUCAUCUAAUUAUUCCUCUAGUUUUGUGUUGAAUAUUCCCAUUAACUUAGAUAGAUUCCAAUUAUUUGGGUUAAGUACCGAAUUUAUUUUUCGUAAUUUUAUUUUUGGUUAAGUAUGUUCCUAAUUUUGGUUACACUUUCUUCCUUGUGGGUUUAUACGUUUCAAUUAUUAUUCCACUAGUUUUGUGUUCAAUAUUCCAAUUAAUUUGAUAAGAUUUCAUUUAUUUGGGUUAAAUACCGAAAUAAUUUUUUUUGUUAAAUUAGUUCCCAAUUUUGGUUAAGCUUUUUAAUAUUUAGGUUCACAUGUUUUAAAUUAUUAGUCCACUAGUUUUGUGUUAGGUAUUCCUACUAAGUUCGUUCAAUACCAAUAUUUUGGGUUAGAUUUCAAGUAAUUUUCAUUUCCCGUUGGAUGAGUUCCUAAUUUUCGUUAGAUUUUCUCGCUUAUUGGUUCAAAUGUUUCAUCUAAUUAUUCCUCUAGUUUUGUGUUGAAUAUUCCCAUUAACUUGAACAUAUUCCAAUUAUUUGGGUUAAGUACCGAAUUUAUUUUUCGUAAUUUUAUUUUUGGUUAAAUAAGUCCCUAAUUUUAGUUAUAUUUUCUCCUUUGUGGGGUUAUAUGUUUCAAUUAUAAUUUCACUAGUUUUGUGUUCAAUAUUCCAAUUAACUUGGUAAGAUUUCAUUUAUUUGGAUUAAAUACCGAAAUAAAUUUUUUUGGUUAAAUUAGUUCCCAAAUUUGCUUAAGCUUUUUCAUAUUUAGGUUCGUAUGUUUCAAAUUAUUAGUCCACUAGUUUUAUGUUAGGUAUUCCUACUAAGUUCGUUCAAUACCAAUAUUUUGGGUUAGAUUCCAAGUAAUUUUCAUUUCCCGUUGGAUAAGUUCCUAAUUUUCAUUAGAUUUUCUCACUUAUUGGUUCAAAUAUUUCAUCUAAUUAUUCCUCUAGUUUUGUGUUGAAUAUUCUCAUUAACUUGGACAAAUUCCAAUUAUUUGGGUUAAGUACCGAAUUUAUUUUUCGUAAUUUUAUUUUUGGUUAAGUAGGUUCCUAAUUUGGGUUAUAUUUUCUCAUAUUUACUUUUAUAUGUUUCAACUAUUAUUUCACUAAUUUUGCGUUUAAUAUUCCAAUUAAUUUGGUGAAAUUUCAGUUAUUUAUGUUAAAUAUCAAAAUUACUUGUAUUACCGGAAACAAUAAUUUUAAUAAGUUGAAUUAUGUUUGAACCCUUACUAUUUUAUAAAAUAUCAACUUACCAUAUAAUACUGAAAAACAUUUAUUGUAACCCUUAAUCUUUUCCAAUAUUUUGGGUCCUUAACCUAGUUCCCUUUUAUAUAUAUCAUGAGAUCUCUUGAACUUGAUUGUAUAUAUAAUUGAGCUUUUAGUCUCUAUACAUAUUUAUUCUCAUUUUAUCAUUUUAGUUGAUUAUUUUUAGUUAUUGUUAAAAUAAAUUAAUGCAUUUAUUUUCAUCUCUCUCUUUACUUUUUAAAAUAAUUUCUUUAAUUUUUCAAAACUUCGACAGUAAAUAAAAAAUAACAUGUAAGAGCGCAUGCAAUUGCUAUGCUUCUCCAAAAAAUUAUUUUUAAAAAUUAUGAUGGCAUAAGUUAUAAAAAAAUAUUUAAGCUAACAAAACUUGAAACUUUCUUAAUCUAUUUGUGUUGAAUUUUCUUUUUUUCUUUUUUUGGGAUCAAUUGACUUCAGGAGAUUUCUUGAACUUGAAAUUAUUUAUACUUAACUUUUUAUCUUUAUAAAUGUUAUGCCCAUUUUAUAAUUCAAUUAAUUAUAUUUAUUUAUCUUUAAACUAAAAUAAAUCAAGAAUUAAGAUUUUUUUAAUUCAAAUUAAAUUUUUACCACUGUUUUCUUUUCAAAUUCUUUUUCUUAAUUUCUUAUUACUUCAACCAAAAAUUUAUGCUAUUAAUUAUAAAGAUUAAUAUAUUAUACUUGUAUUAUUAUCACUAUUAUUAUUUUUUUACUCUUACUAAAAUUAUUAUUAUUACUAUCUUGCCCCAUGAGAUUUGUUGACAAUUUUUUUUAAAUAAUGAGUAUCCUUCUUUUCGUUUUUAAGUAUGGAUAUAAUUUUUAAUUUAUAAAAUAAGUUCUUAAAUUUUCAAGACUUAACUAAAAUAAUUUUUAAGAGUUUAUUAUGACUAAUAUGGUUAUGAACAUUUAUUACUAUAGUAGCAACACUUUAUACCAUACCAUUUCAUAUUUAUUACUAUACCAAAAUUUGUUUAUUUAUUUUAUGAUUAUCCCAUGAACUGUGAAAAUUAACUUUUAUAUUAAAAUUGAAAAAUUUGUAAAUUUGUAUUACAUUGAUCCAAUUCUACUAAGCCACAAUUUAUUUAUCUUUAAUUAAUGCUUUAAACACAGUAAACGCAAUUCAAAUUCAACAAUAUUUUGUAAAAUAAAAAAAUAAAAAAAAAAUCAAUGCAAUCAAGAAAGAAGAAAAUAUAUACAUAUACAUAUACAAACACACACACACACACACACACACACACAUAUAUAUAUGUAUGUAUGUAUGUUUAUAUAUGUAUAUAUUUUGUUGAUAUAAAAUUAAUUAUUUACAACUAUAUUAAUAAUUUAAUAUAGAUGAGAUAAACUACUAUGUAAAUAUAUUAAUAAUCAAAUUAUGGCUAUCAGUUAAUUUAGUUGUAAAUCAUUUGAAUUCAAAACAAAACAGUUAAGGUUUGAAUCUAUGGGCGCAAAUUUAGUUGUUAUUAAGCUAUAUUGAAAAAAAAUCAUAUUCAAAUUCAAUUCCUUUUACCAUUACAAUAAAAUUAUAUAUAUAUAAUUUAGAUCCUAUUGAAAUUUGAACACGAAUAUCGAUUACUCACAAAUAAAACAAAUUUGCUGAGGCGGCUCGACUAAGACGUACGGGCAGCAUAAUUAAGUCCUCAUAACUCUCAAGUGCAGGCAUCAAAAAAUCAAAACUGAGAAUGACUGGUGAUAUAUAUAUAUAUAUAUAUAUAUAGACACCUCAAUCAAUUAAGAAAGAAGCAAAUUAUAAUCAUGGCUUCUAUAGCUGAUCAGGAAGAAGAGACAAAUAAUUUCUCACAUGCAAUGGGACUUGCAAGUGCAAUAGUGCUACCUGCAGUUAUGCAAGCAGUGGUAGAGCUUGAUGUGUUUGAGAUCAUAAGCAAAGCCGGUCCUGGUGCUAAGCUUUCGGUUGCGGAGAUUGUGGCUCAAAUUCCCUUAAAAGAUAAUAAUCCUGAAGCUGCAGCCACGACGUUGGAUCGGGUGCUGAGGCUGCUUGUCAGCUACAACGCUCUUCAUUGCUCUUUUGUCGAUGGACAAAGGCUCUACUCUCUUGCUCCUGUUUCUAAACACUUUGUUCGCAACAAUCGAGACGGCGUGUCGUUGCGUCCCUACAUGGCCUUGUGUCUCGACAAGAUCUGCUUGGAUGGCUGGUACAUAGAACUGCUUCUUUUCUUUACCGUUUCAGUAAAUCGAUCAUUUUCAUUCUCAUGAUUUAAAAUCGAUUAAACUCUGUUAAAAAGAUAUUUAAUUUUCAGUUAGUUUACCAUUAAUGUUAUAAAUGACACAAAAAGUAGAAAGUUAAUGAUUUCUUUUUUUUUUUAAUGACGGAGGAUUCUCAAAUAUGAAAACAAAAAUGAUUGAUUUUAACGAACAACAACGUUUUUUUUUUCGUUUCUCGACAAAAAUUAGUUUUUCGAAUUUCAAGGUUAAUUGUGUGGUCUAAUUUUUGAAUCACCAGCACCAAACCAAGCUUCUGAAAUAGUUACUAACUGUGUUUGGAUUUUGAUAAAUUCAGGUUUGGAUUGAAAAAGCAAAUUCUUGAAGGAGGAAUUGCGUUUAAUAAAGCGCACGGAAUGCAAAUCUAUGAUUACUUAGGCGUCGACUCAAGGUUCAAUGAUGUUUUCAACAAUGGAAUGUUAAGCCACACUUCUAUUGUCAUGGAGAAGGUCCUAGAAUCAUACAAAGGCUUUGAGCAUGUUAAAAAGCUUGUGGAUGUUGGCGGUGGCUUGGGGAUCACUCUUAAUAUGAUAAUUUCAAAAUAUCCUCAUAUUAAGGGUAUUAAUUAUGACUUACCUUAUGUCAUUAAAGAUGCCCCAUCUUAUUCAGGUACUUUAUUUAUAAAAUUUGUAUAGUAUUUUUGUUAAUGAUUCAUCGAUGUUACACUAGCUAACAAAAGUUAGUUUAUUUAAAUUUCAGGGAUAAAACAUAUAGGUGGAGAUUUGUUCAAAAGUAUUCCUGAGGCAGAUACUAUUUUUAUGAAGGUUUAUAUUUUUUUAUAUCACUUGAAAUCAUCAUAAGGAAAAAUUAAAUAGAGAGAAUGACACUUUUCUCCCUAUUGUUUUUGAGUUAAGAUGUAUCCUAACCCUGUUGCUCACUUGGUAUUAGAACUUUGAUAGAAAAAUUCAAAGGGAUAAUAGGAUAUUAUGAAAACUAUUAAAAGAAAAAAAAUGGUGAAACUCAAAACUAUAUAUACAAGGAAAGUGUCAACAACUCUCUUUUUUUCUUCAAUGGUAAAAUGGGUGGGCAAAGCCCAAAUUAACUAAUUAUUGAUCCCAUAUCUCCCUUGAGUUCAAACUUGGGUGACAGUUAAAUAAAAUUGAUUGAAAACAAUUCGAUCAGGCACCUCGGGUGGAAAAUAUCAAUCUCUCUUCUUUAUGAAUGCUUUGUUCAAUCACAUAAAUUGAUCAUAGAUAUCCGGAUAGAACAAAUGAGAAUUAAUAUGAAUACAUGGAACUUUUGCAGUGGAUGCUUCAUAGUUUUGAUGAUGAACAAGCCUUGAAAGUGUUGAAGAAUUGUUAUAAAGCUCUUCCAUAUGGUGGGAAGCUGCUUAAUAUUAAUUCGACAAUUUCGGAAAUGCCUGGGAAUAAUGUAGCUUCAAGGGAAAUCUCUAUUUUGGAUACGGUUUUGUUAGUCCAACUUCCUCAUGGAAGAGAGCGGACCAAACAAGAGUACACUGAAUUGGCAGUCAAAGCUGGAUUUAAAGGUGUCAACUAUGAUUAUGGUGCGUGCAAUUUAUAUGUUAUGGAAUUCUUCAAAUAAAUUGCAUACUUAAUUUCAUUUUGGAAAGAUCUUCUCAACCCUUGGGGAGUUUCCAAUUUCCUAUUUGUGUUAAUUAUUUUCUCUUUUGCUUGGCCUUGGGGCUUGUCUUAUGUACUUUCUUUCAUCUUAUGAAAAUAAUACGUCUCUUAGAAAGAGAUUGAUGGCUGUAUUUGGUACUUCUUAUGUAAUCUUUUUCAGUUCAUACAUUCAGCAUGUGAUUUUUGGUUUAUUAUUGAGGCAAAAAAGAAGUAUUUUUAUCUUGCCUUACUAUUAUUAUUAUUUUUUUGUUCAUUUCAAAGUUGAAAAAAUCAGUAAUGUAUAACUUUUUUAUCAUUUAAAGUAAGAACAUUUGACUUUUGAAAGAGUAGUUAUAGAGAACUCAUUCUAUGCCAUCUCAACCUCACACAAGAGUAAUUAAAACUAGAGCUAAUGUUAAAGUAGUUCUAAAUUUUGAAUUCAUUACAAACUUAUCCUAAAAAUUUGCCUUAGUGGAGUUUAUGUGUGGUACUGGUGUUUAUUUCAUUUUUAUUUCUAAAAACAUAGUAAAUUAAGUGCACCACUAAGUGAACCAGAUGAAGACUGAAAAUUAUUGAAAAAUGGAUUGUGGAGAUUUGGUUUUUCAUCAAACAACUACUAAGAGCUAAUAUUGCUCGAUGGAAAAAGAAAAAAAAUCUGAAUAUUAUGAUUAUCUUUGAAAGGUACAUAGUGAAUAGAGAAAAAAAAAAGAAAAAAAUUUGAGUUCCUUUAUUGGACGAGUAUUUUGAUUAGGAGAAAUUUUAUAAUGUUGUAAUUAAAAUGAUGGUAUCAAUGCCGUGAUAAAUAUGAAUUUUGUAAAUUACGCAUAAGACUGGUAAAUGAAAAGUAAAAUAAGUAAAUUAAUAUAAGAGUGGUAAAUUGGCGUCUUAAAACUACAAACUAAACAAAUAUUUAUAAAAAUAACAUAAAACUUGUAAAUCAACAUUAAACUUUAAUUAAAAAAAUAAUUUAUUCAUUUAAUUUACAUAAAUGAUGAAAAAAUCACUCAUCAAUUGAAAAAAUAUAUAUUUAAAACAAUUGCAAUAAGUUUUAUUGUAUUGGUUUAACUAUAUAUUCUAUAUUCAUUCUUCGACAUAAAAAAAAAUGAAUCUUUUAAAAAAAAAUGAAUCUUUUUCUAUCUAUAGUAUUUGAUACUACACAUGUUAAUUAAGCAAAAAUUUUUUUUUUUUUACGUGAAUCAAGCAAAAAAAAAAAAGAUUUUCUUAUAUUACUAGAUGUACAUGAUAUAUCAAUAAAAUUGGAUCUAAUUUUUAGUGCUAUAUAUACUUCAUGUAAUUUUAAACUAUGUUUCUUAUUGUACUUAAAGAUUAUUUGGGUUUACGGUCAAGGAGGCUUAAAAGGAUAUAACAUCACCUUAUUUUACAAGCAGUGAGGUUUGAAAGUCUAACUUUCAGGAUAUGUUUAUCAUUCUUAUAUUACUAGAUGUACAUGACAUAUCAAUAAAAUUGGAUCUAAUUUUUAGUGUUAUACAUAUUUCAUGUAAUUUUAAACUAUGUUUCUUAUUGUACUUAAAGAUCAUUUGGGUUUACGGUCAAGGAAGCUUAAAAGCAUACAACAUCACCUUAUGUUACAAGCAGUGAGGUUUGAAAGUCUAACUUUCAGGAUAGAUUUAUCAUUAAUAAAAUUUCACAUAUGUCAUCACAUAUAUUAUACAACCUCAUAAUGUGACAAUUAGCUUAUAUAUUUACUAAUUUUGAUUCUAAAUUGAGUUUAGAAUCAAAAUUAUGAGCUAAUAGUCACAUUAUGAGUUUUUAUUUUAUAUUUGUAAGUUUUUAUUUUUUUAAUAACUCUUAUAUUAAGGUACUUGUUUUACCUUCUAUUUACAAGUAUUACAUUCUAUUUAUAUCAUUUAUAUUUUAUUUUAUGAUUAAUGUGGAUUUACCACUUCUAUGUUACAUGUAUAAGUUUUAUUUUAUUUAUCAAUAAUAUAAUGAUUUAUCACUUUUAGGUUAAUUUAUUUGUUUUACCUUCUAUUUACAAGUUUUAUGUCCCAUUUACUUUUUUAUGUUUUAUUUACACUUUAAUGUUAAUUUACAAGUUUUAUACUAUAUGAAUAAGUUUUUGUUUUAUUUACUAAUGAUACACCAAUUAACUACUCCUAUAUUAGUUUACUUAUUUUACCUUCUAUUUACAAAUCUUGUAUUCUAUUUAACACAAAUGUUGGCAUGAGAUUCCUGACAUAUUUCUAAAAUCAAAAUAAGAUGCAUAGAGGACAAUAAUUUUAUUUCAUAAUUAAAAUUUUUGUAAAGAAAGUUUGAAUAUGAGAGGGGUGAGAGAUGAGAAUAUUGACGAUGGUGUGUACUUUGGAUGGAAAAAUAGAUUGAAAAUAUAUAUAGACAUAUUAAAAGAAAAAAAUAUGAUCUAUACCUCAAGAGAAAUAAGAAAUUAUAAAUGCAGGUGGUCAAAUGUAUUUAUAAUUUAUAAUUUUUUAUAAAUAUGAUAAUCAUUAGACCAAUAUAAAAGUCUAGCAAAAAGUUUAAAUUUUUUUAAUAAAUGUAGAAGAGAUGGACGAAGAAACCAGCCAACAGUUCAGAAUUAACAAUUAAAGAUAUGAGGACUUGAUCGAAGAAAUGUGAAAAAUAAAAGGACACUGGGUUGGUUAGCGGGACCCUAAUUUAAUGGUAAAAAAUAAAAGGACACUGGGUUGCUAUCAAUUUCUACGGUGUGGUACGUUCAUAGCCGGGGAAGUAAUUGUAUUAGCGGGACCCUAACAUUAAUAAAAGGACACUGGGUUGUUUAGCGGGACCCUAAUAUUAAUGGUAAAAAAUAAAAGGAAACUGAGUUGGUAUCAAUUUCUACGGUGUAGGUUCAUAGCCGGGGAAGUAAUUAUAUUAGCGGGACCCUAAUAUUAAUGGAGACCUAAUAUUAAUGAUAAAAAAUAAAAGGACACUGGGUUACAAUCAAUUUCUACAGAGUGGGUUCAUAGCCGGAGAAGUAAUUGGGCACAAAUAUCAUGGUGAACACGGAUGAGAAAUAACCAUUUUAUCCCCGCAACUUUAUGUUUAUGGCCUCUAAAAAUUUUCACCUCUUUCACUUCUGGAACCCGCGCUUUCUGGCACAUGCACAAUACUUGGUUGCGACUUAUAGAGAGUUUUAGAAUUGCAACGACAUGGUGCUCUUUGAUAAUUCAAAAAUCCAAUAGAAUUUAUAGAGAAUUACAGAAUUGUGGUACGUGAUAAUUUGCUGAUGCAGUGAGGGGCCGAAAUUCUUGUACAUGUGAUUAAGUUAUAGAUGUAUAAUUAAGUAAUUAGCAAGCACUAAUUGGGGGUAUUUGUGUCCAUGAAAAUUUACAGUUGGUUGUUGACAUUAUACUGUGGGUGCGUAAGUGCAAUCACGAUCUGACCAUUCAAAUUAAAAAAUGGGGGUCCCACUAAUUAUAAAGUUUGUAAUUAUCACAUAUACAGAUAUGGUCGCAUAUGAAAAUCUUAUCAUAAAUUGAAUGGAUUCGAUGACUUAAUUGAAGUUAUGAACGGAUAUUUAAAUAAAAGAAAAUUUAUAAUAAAGAAAAGUAUUAAUUUGUUGUGAAUGUAACUUAUAUAAGCUGUAAGUUAGCGGGACUCUUCAAAUAAUUCUAAUAUUUUGAUUUUUAAUUCUUAUAUUUAAAAAAAUAUCUUUUGUAGUUAAAUAUAUUUUUUUUUUAUCCUUACUUUUACUUUACUUUUAUAAUAAUAGCCUUCUAAUUUUUUUUAACAUUAAUUAAGUUAUUUAUAAAAUUUUAAUUAUAAAAUUUACUAAUAAUUAUUUAUUAAUAAAUUAACUAAUAAAUAUCAGUAUGAAAGAACUAAUAUUUUUUUAACCCAUGCAAUAAUCUUGCAAAUAAUUUUUUUAUAAAUAAAAAUUAAUAUCAACUAACUUAAAGUGGUGUUUAAUAUCCUUACAAUAAUUAUAUUAAUAUUAAUUUAUAAAAAAUUAAUUUACUAAAUUAAUCUUAAAACUAAAUUAAUAACAUAAAAAUUUAUAAAACUAAUUAUUUUACUUUUCAUCGGCUGCAAUUUGUUGAAACUUGGGUGAAGACAAAUUGAGAUCUUAGAAAUCUCCAAUGAGAUAAUAAAAUAUAAUAUAUAUGUUAGGUCUUUGUUUUUUUUUUUUUUUUUUGGUUUAAACCACCCGAUUUCCGACGACCGCAUUGGGCCCCGACUAAUUCGGAUUCGGGGUGUAGUCACAGUUAAGGCUCUUUACCCCUCCCAAAUGGUGUGUUUAGUAGGGAUCAAACCCGAGAGCUCUUUCCACUUACCCAACCUGCGUCGCCAACUGAACCACAACCGUUUGAUUAGGUCUUUGUUCUUUAGAGAAUAGAUCCUAUUGAAAUUUGAACACGAAUAUCGAUUACUCACAAAUAAAAUAAAUUUGCUGAGGCGGCUCGACUAAGACGUACGGGCAGCAUAAUUAAGUCCUCAUAACUCUCAAGUGCAGGCAUCAAAAAAUCAAAACUGAGAAUGACUGGUGAUAUAUAUAUAUAUAUAUAUAGACACCUCAAGCAAUUAAGAAAGAAGCAAAUUAUAAUCAUGGCUUCUAUAGCUGAUCAGGAAGAAGAGACAAAUAAUUUCUCACAUGCAAUGGGACUUGCAAGUGCAAUAGUGCUACCUGCAGUUAUGCAAGCAGUGGUAGAGCUUGAUGUGUUUGAGAUCAUAAGCAAAGCCGGUCCUGGUGCUAAGCUUUCGGUUGCGGAGAUUGUGGCUCAAAUUCCCUUAAAAGAUAAUAAUCCUGAAGCUGCAGCCAC
rnacentral:lncRNA from 1 species